rnacentral:rRNA from 1 species
UACGUAGGGGGCUAGCGUUGUCCGGAAUCAUUGGGCGUAAAGCGCGUGUAGGCGGUCCGGUAAGUCCGCUGUGAAAGUCGAGGGCUCAACCCUCGAAUGCCGGUGGAUACUGUCGGGCUUGAGUACGGGAGAGGCGAGUGGAAUUCCUGGUGUAGCGGUGAAAUGCGCAGAUAUCAGGAGGAACACCGAUUGCGAAGGUAGCUCGCUGGAACGUUACUGACGCUGAGACGCGAAAGCGUGGGGAGCAAACAGG